UAUAAAAAUAUAUAAAGUCCCUUUUUUGUUAAAAAGUGGAGCUCUAUUUAAUUUAACCAGAAUAAUAAUAAAAGCCAAAACCCCUCUCUUGUGUCUUCUUAGUCUGAACUCUCACCAUUUUCAACUGAUGAGUGAUGACCGAGUAGAAAAUAAGCAGAGAAGAAACCAACAAACACAAAAACAUUUAAUUAACCAUUAACCAAACAAACCCUUAACUCACAAAACUAAAAAUCUCUCUUCUCUGCUUCUUCAUGUAGUAGUAGUAGAAUUUCAUAAUUCUAUUUUCUCCACAACUCGUUGAUCAAACUCA
rnacentral:lncRNA from 1 species